rnacentral:rRNA from 1 species
CUACGUGCCAGCAGCCGCGGUAAUACGUAGGGUGCGAGCGUUAAUCGGAAUUACUGGGCGUAAAGCGAGCGCAGACGGUUACUUAAGCAGGAUGUGAAAUCCCCGGGCUCAACCUGGGAACUGCGUUCUGAACUGGGUGACUAGAGUGUGUCAGAGGGAGGUAGAAUUCCACGUGUAGCAGUGAAAUGCGUAGAGAUGUGGAGGAAUACCGAUGGCGAAGGCAGCCUCCUGGGAUAACACUGACGUUCAUGCUCGAAAGCGUGGGUAGCAAACAGGAUUAGAUACCCUGGUAGUCCACGCCCUAAACGAUGUCAAUUAGCUGUUGGGCAACUUGAUUGCUUAGUAGCGUAGCUAACGCGUGAAAUUGACCGCCUGGGGAGUACGGUCGCAAGAUUAAAACUCAAAGGAAUUGACGGGGACCCGCACAAGCGGUGGACGAUGUGGAUUAAUUCGAUGCAACGCGAAGAACCUUACCUGGUCUUGACAU